rnacentral:rRNA from 1 species
UACGUAGGGUGCAAGCGUUAAUCGGAAUUACUGGGCGUAAAGCGUGCGCAGGCGGUUGUGCGAGACAGGUGUGAAAUCCCCGGGCUUAACCUGGGAACUGCAUUUGUGACUGCACAGCUGGAGUGCGGCAGAGGGGGAUGGAAUUCCGCGUGUAGCAGUGAAAUGCGUAGAUAUGCGGAGGAACACCGAUGGCGAAGGCAAUCCCCUGGGCCUGCACUGACGCUCAUGCACGAAAGCGUGGGGAGCAAACAGG